GACGAACGCUGGCGGCGUGCUUAACACAUGCAAGUCGAACGGAAAGGCCUGCUUUCCCUUGUGGAUUGCGGGUACUUGAGUGGCGAACGGGUGAGUAACACGUGAGUGAUCUGCCCCCAACUUGGGUAUAAGCCUGGGAAACUGGGUCUAAUUCCCGAUAGGACUGCAGGGUGGUGCCUGUGGUGGAAAACGAUUUUCUAGUGGUUGGGGAUGAGCUCGCGGCCUAUCAGCUUGUUGGUGGGGUAAUGACCUACCAAGGCGGCGACGGGUAGCCGGCCUGAGAGGGUGGACGGCCACAUUGGGACUGAGAUACGGCCCAGACUCCUACGGGAGGCAGCAGUGGGGAAUAUUGCACAAUGGGCGGAAGCCUGAUGCAGCGACGCCGCGUGGGGGAUGACGGCCUUCGGGUUGUAAACUCCUUUCGACCGCGAGGAAGCCACCUGGUUGGAAGGGUGGUGACGGUAGUGGUAGAAGAAGCACCGGCUAACUACGUG
rnacentral:rRNA from 1 species